rnacentral:rRNA from 1 species
AACGAACGCUGGCGGCGUGGAUAAGACAUGCAAGUCGAACGGAGAUUCUUUAGAGCUUGCUUUAAGGGGUCUUAGUGGCGAACGGGUGAGUAACACGUGAGUUACCUGCCCCGAAGUGGGAGAUAGCCCGGAGAAAUUCGGAUUAAUACCCCAUGUGAUCGUAAGAUUAAAGGCGGCGCAAGCUGUCGCUUCGGGAUGGGCUCGCGGCCUAUCAGCUAGUUGGCGGGGUAACGGCCCACCAAGGCGAUGACGGGUAGCUGAUCUGAGAGGAUGAUCAGUCACACUGGAACUGAGACACGGUCCAGACACCUACGGGUGGCAG